CCUGACCCUACAGCUGUUUGGAGUCUAACCAGGGGGUCCAAUCUGACCCUACAGCUGUUUGGAGUCAAACCAGGGGGUCCAAUCUGACCCUACAGCUGUUUGGAGUCAAACCAGGGGUUCCAAUCUGACCCUACAGCUGUUUGGAGUCAAACCAGGGGGCCCAAUCUGACCCUACAGCUGUUUGGAGUCUAACCAGGGGGUCCAAUCUGACCCUACAGCUGUUUGGAGUCAAACCAGGGGGUCCAAUCUGACCCUACAGCUGUUUGGAGUCUAACCAGGGGGUCCAAUCUGACCCUACAGCUGUUUGGAGUCUAACCAGGGGGUCCAAUCUGACCCUACAGCUGUUUGGAGUCUAACCAGGGGGUCCAAUCUGACCCUACAGCUGUUUGGAGUCAAACCAGGGGGUCCAAUCUGACCCUACAGCUGUUUGGAGUCAAACCAGGGGGUCCAAUCUGACCCUACAGCUGUUUGGAGUCAAACCAGGGGGUCCAAUCUGACCCUACAGCUGUUUGGAGUCAAACCAGGGGGUCCAAUCUGACCCUACAGCUGUUUGGAGUCAAACCAGGGGGUCCAAUCUGACCCUACAGCUGUUUGGAGUCUAACCAGGGGGUCCAAUCUGACCCUACAGCUGUUUGGAGUCAAACCAGGGGGUCCAAUCUGACCCUACAGCUGUUUGGAGUCAAACCAGGGGGUCCAAUCUGACCCUACAGCUGUUGUACCAAAACAAAGUCGUCAUCAGCGAUUGGAUCAUCUCUAACCAAUCAGAGUAUCAAAACGAAGUCGUCAUCAGCGAUUGGAUCAUCUCUAACCAAUCAGAGUAUCAAAACGAAGUCGUCAUCAGCGAUUGGAUCAUCUCUAACCAAUCAGAGUAUCAGAAUGAAGCUACAGCCACACGUGUUCCGGCUCUGGUCCCAGAAACCAACGGGUUGGACCAAUCAGACGGUCUAGUAUGGAUUUCCAUUCUAGAAAUCGUCGGGUUGCCAGGCGAUACAGCAGACCUUUUUGUAGAGACGAUUAGUCAUCCCUGUUGGAAAUGAUCCAGCCGGGUUGCCAGGUUACACCAGCCCGUCUCCAGCUUCUACACAGACAGUCACAACAAACAUAUCUGGCAUCCUGGCUAGUAAAGACUGACACACCAACUGAAAUACAAACAGACCAUCUGUAUACCAAAUGGCACCCUAUUCCCUAUAUAGUGCACUACUUUAGACCAGAGCCCCAUGGCACCCUACUCCCUAUAUAGUGCACUACUUUAGACCAGAGCCCCAUGACACCCUACUCCCUAUAUAGUGCACUACUUUAGACCAGAGCCCUACUCCCUAUAUAGUGCACUACUAUAGACCAGAGCCCCAUGGCACCCUACUCCCUAUAUAGUGCACUACUUUAGACCAGAGCCCUAUGGCACCCAACUCCCUAUAUAGUGCACUACUUUAGACCAGAGCCCUAUGGCACCCAACUCCCUAUACCCAACUCCCUAUAUAGUGCACUACUUUAGACCAGAGCCCUAUGGCACCCAACUCCCUAUAUAGUGCACUACUUUAGACCAGAGCCCUAUGGCACCCAACUCCCUAUAUAGUGCACUACUUUAGACCAGAGCCCUAUGGCACCCAACUCCCUAUAUAGUGCACUACUUUAGACCAGAGCCCUAUGGCACCCAACUCCCUAUAUAGUGCACUACUUUAGACCAGAGCCCUACUCCCUAUAUAGUGCACUACUUUAGACCAGAGCCCUACUCCCUAUAUAGUGCACUACUUUAGACCAGAGCCCCAUGACACCCUACUCCCUAUAUAGUGCACUAGCACCCUACUCCCUAUAUAGUGCACUACUUUAGACCAGAGCCCCAUGACACCCUACUCCCUAUAUAGUGCACUACUUUAGACCAGAGCCCUACUCCCUAUAUAGUGCACUACUAUAGACCAGAGCCCCAUGACACCCUACUCCCUAUAUAGUGCACUACUUUAGACCAGAGCCCCAUGACACCCUACUCCCUAUAUAGUGCACUACUUUAGACCAGAGCCCUACUCCCUAUAUAGUGCACUACUAUAGACCAGAGCCCCAUGACACCCUAC
ensembl:lncRNA